UUCUACGGGGGGCAGCAGUGGGGAAUAUUGCACAAUGGGCGAAAGCCUGAUGCAGCGACGCCGCGUGAGGGAUGACGGCCUUCGGGUUGUAAACCUCUUUCAGCAGGGACGAAGCGCAAGUGACGGUACCUGCAGAAGAAGCACCGGCUAACUACGUGCCAGCAGCCGCGGUAAU
rnacentral:rRNA from 1 species